CCUACGGGAGGCAGCAGUGGGGAAUAUUGGGCAAUGGGCGCAAGCCUGACCCAGCAACGCCGCGUGAAGGAAGAAGGCUUUCGGGUUGUAAACUUCUUUUGUCAGGGACGAAGCAAGUGACGGUACCUGACGAAUAAGCCACGGCUAACUACGGGCAAGCAGCCGCGGCAAUACGUAGGUGGCAAGCGUUAUCCGGAUUUACUGGGUGUAAAGGGCGUUUAGGCGGGACUGUAAGUCAGAUGGUAGAACCACGGGGUCAACCUGUGACUUGGAUUUGAUACUGUAUUUCUAGAGUACUGGAGAGGCAGACGGAAUUCCUGGUGUAGCGGUGAAAUGCUUAGAGAUUA
rnacentral:rRNA from 1 species